UCCCUGGUGGCUCAGAUGGUAAAGAGUCUGCCUGCAAUACAGGAGACCCAGGUUCGAUCCCUGGGCUGGGAA
rnacentral:tRNA from 1 species